rnacentral:lncRNA from 1 species
GGCAUUCAUUUAAAGAAGGAAAUGUCUUCACAGAGCAGUACAAAUAAUCGCUAACGAGCAUCCUUUCAUAAUGAAAUCUUUCAGACGAGGCAAGAUGCUCUAUCAAAGUGGUUGAACCGAACAGGAUUGUUGUUGACACUGGCCGGGGUCAUCAGCCCCAUUCUCUACUCUUUGAUGCAGUGUGGAACGAGAGCGCUAACCAGAAGGAUAUUUAUGAAUCGACAGCAAGGGUAGAUAAUCUACGCACCACAUGUUGAAGGGAAUCGUUUUGUGUAGUCAUGCUUGACUUUGGCAGUAACUCACUCACUCACCGAAAGACUUACCGGACUGGAAGUCACUGGAGAAACAAGUAAUUGAAAUGUAGCGCAGGAAAGAUGGGAGUUAGUGAUUUAUGAAGUCGGGAAAGCGCAAUGACUCAGGUCUGAGUCUGACGGGUCUAACGUGAAGUUCGUCUCCUCAGCCUCUGGUGGGGUCCCUCGUGCAGGGCUACAACGGCUGUGUCAUCGCGUACGGCUCCCGCUGCAGUGGAAAGACCUACACCAUGCUUGGCGGGAGCUUGACGGGCAAGCAGCGGGGUAUCCUCAGCCGCGUAGCCGAGGACAUUUUUAACUGUAUCCUUUUCCUGUUGUCAUUUGAGCCCCUGCUCCCCGUAUGUUCAGGCGCACCAGUAUAGGACAGUAUAUAACCUUGGACUGGACGUUUUGCCUGGGCCUUAUGAUGGAAAUAUGAAUAAAAUUGGUGUUUCAGCAGUGUUUGUGUAUUUUGUAGGCCUUCAGGUGAUGGAUCAUUCCAAGGCGUAUUAUUAAAUUAAGCAAGAUCGUAUUGCAGGACGGAGGUUAUGAAUCUACUGUCAGUGACUCCCUUAGACAGCAGCGGACUGUGAUGAAAACAAUAUUUUUGUUCCCUUAACUACACGGCUGUACUCAGCGCCCGAUGCUUCCACCUGCAGUGUCAGAGUGUCCUUCUAUCACAUUUCCAAUGAGAAGAUCUAUGAUCUGCUGGACAGCCAUCCCUCGGAGGUGAGCCGCAUCCACGAGGGGGAGGACGCGGUGGUGCUGGAGGGCCUGAAGGAGGUGGAGGUGGGCUCCCCACAGGCCCUGCUCCAGGUCUACCGAUGUGGGGCCACCAAGAGACAAGCAGGCACCUCCAAGGGUGACUUUGCCAGCAGAAGUCAUGCUAUAUUCAACAUAACGGUGAUCAACACAAAGGCCAGCCUUGGUGAGCUUAUAUUUCACAAACAAGUUUUACUUUCCAGAAACACCUUUUGACAUAUAGUUUGUUUCCACCCACGAAACAAAACACAAAGGAUAAAGAAACCAGAAACUGUAGAGACUCUGAGCACUUUGUCCAUCUCCGUUCCAACAGCUGUCAUCAGCAGAGAGGCUGAAGUGAAACCAGCGUGAUAACAUUCACUACGGUUCUCCCUCAUAACCUCAUUAUUGCAAUUCUCUUCUGUCAAUAACCACAUUAAAAAACAAA